CAGGACGAACGCUGGCGGCGUGCUUAACACAUGCAAGUCGAACGAUGAAGCCCUUCGGGGUGGAUUAGUGGCGAACGGGUGAGUAACACGUGGGCAAUCUGCCCUUCACUCUGGGACAAGCCCUGGAAACGGGGUCUAAUACCGGAUAACACUCUGUCCCGCAUGGGACGGGGUUGAAAGCUCCGGCGGUGAAGGAUGAGCCCGCGGCCUAUCAGCUUGUUGGUGGGGUAAUGGCCUACCAAGGCGACGACGGGUAGCCGGCCUGAGAGGGCGACCGGCCACACUGGGACUGAGACACGGCCCAGACUCCUACGGGAGGCAGCAGUGGGGAAUAUUGCACAAUGGGCGAAAGCCUGAUGCAGCGACGCCGCGUGAGGGAUGACGGCCUUCGGGUUGUAAACCUCUUUCAGCAGGGAAGAAGCGAAAGUGACGGUACCUGCAGAAGAAGCGCCGGCUAACUACGUGCCAGCAGCCGCGGUAAUACGUAGGGCGCAAGCGUUGUCCGGAAUUAUUGGGCGUAAAGAGCUCGUAGGCGGCUUGUCACGUCGGAUGUGAAAGCCCGGGGCUUAACCCCGGGUCUGCAUUCGAUACGGGCUAGCUAGAGUGUGGUAGGGGAGAUCGGAAUUCCUGGUGUAGCGGUGAAAUGCGCAGAUAUCAGGAGGAACACCGGUGGCGAAGGCGGAUCUCUGGGCCAUUACUGACGCUGAGGAGCGAAAGCGUGGGGAGCGAACAGGAUUAGAUACCCUGGUAGUCCACGCCGUAAACGUUGGGAACUAGGUGUUGGCGACAUUCCACGUCGUCGGUGCCGCAGCUAACGCAUUAAG
rnacentral:rRNA from 1 species